AAAGGCGAUUCGAUUACACAGAUUAGCUCGCGCGUACAGAACCGAUCGUUGCAUAAAUCAAAGACGUAUGGGCAGAUAUUCUUCUUAAUUAAUCGUGUAUAACGAUCGGCAAACGAGCUGCAGCGCAAUUUAUUUCGGUAUGCCUGAGUGCAAAGUCUGUCUGGUCGUCGAAUCAAGAAGGAUGACGACUGAAAUUCGACGAGAUAAAGGUUCGAUUUUAACGGAACAGGGAACAAGAUCUACAAAAUAGUUGUCAAUAGCAUUGUCAUGGUCGAUCUACUAUUGUUCUCGAAGGAAAAAGAGAAAUUACCGUAAGCCAUGAUAACUUCUUAUUGUGGUAGGAUUACGGCAAAGGCUAUUUAUUCAAAUUACAAAAGACCAUCCCAUAAAUUCUUCAGAACCGUCAUAAAUUUUCCAAACAUGGUCAAACAGGCCACAAAGAGAAUUCCGAUUUUCUGCCAGAACAUACCCAAUUGUUCAUUCGUCAAGAGAAUUCCUAACCAGCCGUUUGGUUCAUGAAACUCCUUUGCAUUUUAAUAUUGUCGUGUAGACGGAAGCGAUAUUUUAUUCAAAUUCUUUGCAACUGUUACGUAAUUGUCAUUUUGCUUGUCCUUCGCGGCAAUUAAAUUGCUGUCGAGUUUUACCUUAAGAAACGUUUCUAUCGUAUAGAAACUUCAACAACUUCUUUCGACGAUUCAAGGAACGCCUUGAAUUCGAUCGUUACGAAAAUAAUUUAUGUUAAUCGUGAUCAACGUCGAUUUGACUCGAUCCCUCGGAAGUAUCGUUGCAGGUAUUACUUAAUCAUCGGCUCGUGCAAAGGCAUCGAGCAGACGCGUUAAAAAUGCUAAUCGGUAGUCGCCAUCUGCAACGCCGUUUCUUUUAUUUUCAUAAUAUAUUUGGUGUUAUCUCUGUUAGUGAACGUUUACUAUUAUCGGAUGUUAAAAUUGUUUCAAGAAUAAAGUAAUAAUUGAGUAAUUUAUUUAUAGAGUUUGGAAACACGGUAGAUGGAUCGUUGAAGCAACUCGACGAAUUCGACGAAGAAUUUCAAAUGGCCGUUCGAAUAAUAUUCGAAUCCGUAGAAUUUCGAUCGAUUGCUAUGCUAUCAGACUUAGCUUAAUAACUUCGAUACUUACGUAAUCACCGAACCUUAUCAGUAAUUGCUAGAAUUUUCAACCAAAACGCAUUAUGGUAAUUAUUAUCUGAAUCAUUGCGUGUCAAAAUUUCUCUUUAUCUUCCCUCGCUCUUAUCUAUGUUACAUCGCAAAGUACAGCGUUUCUCAAUUAACGAAACAGCAACGAACAAUGUCCUAAAUACUAAAAAUAUUACUUAAUGUAACGUGUUGCGUCAGAUGAUUCACUUUUUACUAUCAUUAUCUCAUAUUAUUAGAAAUUCCCAAAUAAUGUCAGUUUUGUAUUUUACCUGUGCAAUGUUUUUAAUCGAAUCAAUGCAACAAAAUUUCAACGAUUCCCUCUUCCAUUGCACAAUUCUACGAUGACGUAAAGAUGACGUACUUUUCGCUAUUUUUUCGAUGAAUCGUCCGUUCAAGUCUACGAUUAUUGAUAUGAUAACGAUAUAUCUUCAUGGAUGUAUAGAAGGUAGAGACAAUGUUUGACCAUGAGAAGGUAACAAGACAUCCGUCAUCAUCGUGGCGACUUAAAUUGCUAAAAAAAAAUUUAUACGGGCGUGCUGCCAAUGUCAAAAGCGAGGUCGGCAGUCGAUACGCCGUGCCGUAGCAGCUCUUUGUCAGCUUCGAUCUAAUUAAUCCUCGUUAAGUCAUCGUCAAUUGUUUACGUAAAUGAAGUAUUCAACUGGCAGACGCAAACUUUUGCUCACGAAUCGCACGCGUGUGUACCUUGUUUCAGCUGCGAUUAUUGCACAUGCACGUUACGAUCGUACAAAGGUAUUAACACCUGUCUGCUUUAUUGUCAUUUGUUUGUAAGUAUAAUUUAGCCGAAGACAGACGUAACGCGAUGCACGAGAAUCGAAGUGAAAAGAACAGGUGACACGUAGGUGAAAUCGAGGACGGUCUCACGAAAAGUUUCGUCUAUGAGAACACGUGAAUACACUUUGUUUUACGUUCAAUACGAAGUUAAAAAAUAUUUGCACGCGUAAGUUAAAUGAAAUGCAAACAGAAACGCACGAUGAACGAGCUAAAAGAAUAAUAAAAUAGGAAGUCAGCAGGAGUUGAGGAUAGAGUGGCGUGAAAUGUUUCUGGCCAGACAAAUUUCUCACUUUGUAUUUCAAAACCGAUAUGCAGACUGCGCACCUUUGUGCAACUUCACCUUUUCGCGAUAUGAAGCGAACGAUCUACCUGGCUGGAAAUUUUUGCACAUCACUGGAGGUCCUUGAAUUGAUUCGAAUAUGAAAGGGAAACACAGUCACAGUCUAAAUAAAUGGAGGAUAAAUAGAUCGAGAUAAAUAGCGAAGAAAUCGACAAAGGUUAAAAUAGGAAAUGACAACGUGAUUUACUUUCCGGAAGUGGAAGUUCAAGGCAGAGCGACUUACCUUGCUGCUGGCAAGGUGUACCCACUCCAUUACGAUAUCUUUAAUAAUCUAUUUGAUUUCUCUAAUGUACACGUAACAGGAACGAACGAGAAGCCUGGUAUCCUAAAAUGGCUUUAUUAACUCUUAACUUUACACGUGUUUAAUAUGCAGUACUUGUCAGAGAUAUCUGUAUACGCGUGUAUCUGUGUGUCUGUGUCUGUAUUAUUCCACGCUUCUUUCGUUAGUCGUCGACCACACCACCCGAUAGGAUGAUCGUUAACGAGAUACGAUGCCUUCUCGAUCGUGCAGAUCGAAGGAAGGACGAUAUUUCAUUACCUGGCCCGAUUCCUUCCAUCCGGGGUUCCGUCGAGGCGCCAUAGCGGACAAAAAUAAUUUGCGAAUUCCCAGUCGACGAGUAUUACUUUUAUGUAUAUAUCAUUAUGUGUACAAGACAUUCCUCAUACGCGACGUGAUAAUCGUUUCUCCUCCUUCGUCUCUCCCCUCGAAGCGGAACUAUUUCGGUGGUCCGCGUCCUUCUGGACUCCACCGAUUUCUACGAUUUUUCCUUCGUAUUUCUUCCCUAAUUCUUUCGUCGUUUCAUUCUUGUUUCCCUAGCUUUUCUUCUCUUCUAUACAAAAUACUUUCGAACCGCACACACACACACACUCUCUCUCUCUCUCUUCCUCUCUUCGUUUCGCAGGCCAAAAAAAAAAGAAAGUAAGCUCCGUCCAAAAGCUUGUUCUUAAACACGACGAUCGGCUGUAUGUUCGCCAAUUCCGACCUCUUCUUUACAAUUUUUCCACUUCUGACACCGUAUCUUAUAAAUAUCGUACACGUUUAUUAUACAUAAUCGUCGUUUCCGUCACAAUAACACAAUUGCAGCGCAUGAGAGUUACGCGUAUAGCGAUGAUAUGAUUAGAAGCAUGAUAUGAGUUCUGCUCUUGUCUAUCGCAGGUCACAGACCGGAGAUUCGAAAGUAGUCUUUGAGUAGCGUGUACACAUACUGCGAUCGGUCACGCACGAUCGAUAUGGCCCCAUCCACGAUCCGAGCUUCUUUUAUUCUUAUUAUAUAUAUAUUUUUUUUCUCUCGUAAAAAAAGCUUUCUGUGUCUCUUUUCUUCUUUUUUUUAUUUUUUUUUUUUUUUUUUUGUUUAAGGUAGCUCGAGCGUGGACGCGACGAGACGAUUCGUGACGCAUCAAUUUCCUUGAACAGCGGAUACGCUAAAACGUGAUACAAAAAUAGAAAAUACUCCCGAGGUUUUCUAAUUCGUGCGAUUAUCGCGACGAAUCGUACAUGUUGUUCGUUUCAUUGGAACGCAAUCGUUUUGCACUGUGGAAUAGAAUGAUCUGCCUGAUUUUUAUUCUGCGAUAAACAAGGCGCGGUGAAGAAGGAUUGAAAAGAGAUAGUCGCGUGUUAAUAUACUUAAAUCUUCUACAUUAUAAAGACGUGAAUUAAUAUAUAUUAUAUCGUAAUUUAGCUUGCAUACCAAACAUCCGUUUUUUUUUUUUUUAAUCAUUCUACAUACACAAAUAUCAUCAUUAUCAUCAUCAUCAUUAUUAUCAUCAUCAUCAUUCACACUAAGUUUUAAUAGGAGUGACCCCAAAUUUGUAGAUUCGUCAACUACCUGUUCCUGUUGCGAAGAAGUGGAUGAACAGAGCCUCCAAAUUCGAGGUACGCAAAAGAUAUCGCUUUUCUUUUUACUUUUGUUUUGUUAUUUCUCUUCCUGUUUCCCCUUCCCUUGUCCUUCGUUCUUUUCUUUCGAAUUUCUCGCAUUAUUUCCUUCCUCUUUGAAAAAAUAUCAGGAAACUAUCGAGGUAUUGAAGAAACGGCAGCGCGUACAUACCCGUAUCCCAAAAAAAUUGUGGUUCAUUCUCGUUCCUUUUUCCUUUUAUUUAUUCGUUCACGAAAAUCAGUCGAAAAUUUGUUUGCAACAGAGCAGCUGGUUAGAUUGUACAAAAUCAUUCAUAUAAAAAACGUGUGCGCGCCCUGUUCAUAGGGUGUACGGGUGUUUACGCACGUUUGUAUAUGUUAAAAAGUAGGUCUUAUUACUUUAUUCUCCUCUGUGUCCUUUUGUUCCUUCUUAUUUUUAAUUCCAUUUUUUCUUCUCUGCUUUAAGUAGUUAGUACUUCUUUUUGGCUUGGUAACUAUGUAAAUUCUAAAUUAAAUUAAGCCAUCGACGGGUUUAGAAUCGUUAAAACUAGAGCUUCCUUUUUCUUUCAAACGAUAAAAAAAAAAAAAAAAAUAGAAACAAAA